AUCCUUUUGUAGUUCAUAACUGUGGUGAUUGGGUGUUCAUGCCAUGUGUAACAUGCCUCCCUCAAACCUUGUUAUGACCUCAGCACAUUACCCAUCUGAUG